UGCGUGAUAAUAAUCAGUGAAUAUUUAGUAUAACAUCGUAUACAAUGGCAAUGGCUAAACACAGUACAAAACUACAGCACCAACUGUCAAAAUGUAACAAGAUUUAUGACAGCUUAGCAAACAACAUAAUUUAUACUAAGUGACCCAUAGGUUGAGGAGGCGGUGAUCGUUGCGGUGUAGGUGGAAGCAGCGGAGGAGGAGGAGGAUAAGGUAGCCAACACUGUUUUUUAUCAAAUUUUUUUAAUUGGGGGAGCCCCCAAAAUAUUGGGACAUAUAAAAAAGGCAGCUCUGUUCAGCAGAGUAGCUGUUGACAUAGUUGCGCAGGCACUUUGUUGACUCUAGAGAACCUCGGUCCAAUUGCACAUCCCUGUGAAGGCGACUUUGCAUUUGGAUGUCAUCCAUAUCAACUUUCGAUGCCAGUUUCUGCGCCUACUAUGGUGACCACAGGUAAUGGGGAAUCAGAGUUCCAUUCCAUACAGGGACCCUGAGAAACGGCUACCACAUGCAAGGAAGGCAGCAGGCGCGCAAAUGACCCACUCCCAAUGCGGGAAGGUAGUGACAACAAAUAAAAAUACAGGACUCUUUAUAGGCCCUGUAAUUGUAAUAAGUCCACUUGAAAUCCUUUAACUCUGAUCAAUUGGAGGGAAGUCUGGUGCAGAGCCACUGACCCGUGCGUGCUGCAGCUCAAAC